rnacentral:misc_RNA from 1 species
GCUGGAUAAGCCAACCAUAAACAGCAUUAACAUCCUUGUACCAACAGAAAGUUGAAAGGAAAACAUAGUGAAAUUAACUACCAAAAUACAUUUAAGCUUUGUGCUUAUGCAUUAAUUCCAAACAAAAUUUACACACAGUUUAAGUAAAACAUGACUAUAAUAGACUUCAACUGGCUAGUUGGCAACCUAAACUCUGUCCUAUUAUUACGACAGGUGAGAAUUGAGGAUCUGAGUAAAUUUUCGCAGUCAUCAACAAACUUAUUUUCUGAACUGUGGUUUAUGAAGCUUUAGUAUUGAAUUCAGCUUAACUUCUCAAAACUGGAGUUAGAUCUCGCUGAGUACUCUGCCACUAGUUGUGCAAAUGACGAUGAAUUGCUUUCUAAUAACCUUGUUGGAGUGUCAUAUUCCUCGAUAAGCCCUUGACUCAGAAGCAGAACCAUGUCGCUAUCAAGAACAGACGUUAUUCGAUGUGCUAUGGUUAUGACGGUACAGUCAGAGAAGUGUUGCCUAAUGGUUUGCUGAAUCAAAUUAUCAGUAGCAGUAUCAACUGAGGCAGUAGCUUCAUCCAGCACCAAAACCUUACUUUUCUUCAGUAGUACACGCCCAAGACACACCAGCUGCCUCUGACCCAUACUCCAGUUCUCCCCAUUCUCUGUAACUGCAGAGUCUAGCUUUUUCUCCUUCUUCCUAACUUCAUCUCCAAGCUGGCACUUAUCAAGAGCCUCCCAAAUUUGUUCAUCCGUGUACUCAUCAAGGGGGUCCAGGUUGCUCCGUACAGUUCCUUCAAACAUGGUAGGAUCUUGAGGAAUGAUGCUUAGUCUUGACCGCAAGUCGUGCACACCAAUUAAUGAGAUAUUUAUGCCAUCAAUCAAAAUCUGACCAGCUGCGGGCUCAACAAUUCUGAAAAGUGUUUGUAUGAGAGUAGAUUUACCACUGCCUGUUCUACCAACGAUACCGGUUUUCUUCCCUCCAGGGAAAGUGCAUGUGAGACCUCGCAACACAAGUGGCAUGUGAGGGGCAUACCGGACCUGCAGAUUACCAAUAUCAACUUCUCCAUGUGAUGGCCAAAAAUAGUCAGGCCGAUUUUCAUCUAUUACAAGAGGAGGUUCACUAGGAAUAGACGUAUAUUGGAGUAUUCUCUCUACUGAUAUGAUCUUAUUCUCCAUAUUGCAAAUAUUCCAUAUCACCCAUGCUUGUAACAUGUUUAGGUUGAGUCCAUAUGUCACAGCUAAACCGGCAAUGGCUGGAUCGAUUCCCUUUGGGAAAGAGAUUAAGAAAAACAAAGAGAAGGCGAAUGUAACAGAAGAGAACAUAUCCAAGUGGAAGCAAAGCCAUUCCAUUGCAGCAGCACUAUGAAACAAGGGCCGAGAAUAUGAAUCCAUCAGUUUCAUGUUUGUUUCUUGGAAUCUCAAUUGUUGAUCAAAGCUCCUUAUAGUUGUUGACCCUGAAAUUGUUUCAGCAAAAUGUUGGAUAACUGGAGCUUUGCACACUCCAACCAACCGUGAAAGUUCUCUUGCAGAAGGGAUGUAAUAUUGCUGGUACCAGAUGCAGGCAGCAAUCACAGGGAUAAAAACGAUAAAAACUUGCCAUGCCACCUGAGACAUCACUGCAAUGAUUCCCAAAAGCUGGAUCAUUGAGAAGGCAACUGCCCCAACUUGAUAUGGAAUUUGCAUGUCAACUGCACUUUGGUCUGUAGAAGCUCUAUUCAGGAUUCGUCCACUGGGAGUCGAAUCAAAAAAGGACAUGGGGGCACGGAAAAUGCACAAAUGCAUUUUAUUGAAGAGUAGAGUUGCUGUCUUGUACCCUGCUGUCACAAGAAGUGUGGAUCUGGCCAGGAUGCAAAAAGAACUUCCAACAGCCAAAGCUACAUAGACAACCAUUAGUGUAUAUCUGCUAACAACAGGUUUCACAUCCUUUGACACUGGAGUUGCCCAAACCAUCCAAUAAUUGCUACCAAUUUGAAGGAUCUGAAAGAGAAUCUGUGCCAGCAAAAUAAAAGGCACUAGAGCUCCUCCAUAUGCCGUUGUAAGAUAUUUCCAGUAGACUGGAAACCCAACUCUACCUUUUUCUCUCUCUUCUUCUUGAACAAUCUGUCCUUUUGGCUCAGCCAUCUCAUCAGCUUUUCCAAUUUGCAGAUCCUUGUUUUCUUCUUUUUGGGGAACCCCAUUGGUAGUUCUCAUGCCAUUAUUGUCCUUGCUGACGCUAUCAUUUCCAGAAGCUGGCCCUGCCUGUUUCGAAUCAAGUGCUGACAAAGCUGUCUUAUGUGCACCAACAAGUUCCAUAAAAUCAGACCCUGAAUUGAGAAUGUCAUUAUAAUUUCCAGCCUGAGUAAUCCUUCCAUCUUUCAUGACCAAUAUUAGAUCGGCAGCAGGUAAGAACUCAACUUGAUGAGUAACAUAAAUAACAGUUUUCGAACUCAACAGGCCAAGCAAAACUUCCUUAAAUAAAUGAGAUCCAGUAUGUGCAUCGACAGCGCUAAAAGGAUCAUCAAAUAGAUAGAUAUCAGCAUCUUGGUAGAGAGCUCGUGCAAUCUGUAUUCUUUGUUUCUGUCCGCCGCUCAGAUUGAUACCCCUCUCACCUAUAACUGUUUGGUCACCGAACGAGAGGAUUUCCAGGUCCUUCUUCAAGGAACAAGCCUCCAGUAUCCUCUCAUACCUUUCUCUGUCCAUCUCCUCACCAAACAAUAUGUUCUCCUCAAUCUUCCCACUCUGUAUCCAAGGUGACUGCGGAACAUAAGCCUUUUUCCCACACAACCUAAGUGUCCCUGAGAUCUUGGGUACCUCUCCCAAAAUGCAAGAAAGUAAACUCGACUUGCCUGAACCAACAGUACCACAUACAGCAACCCUCAUUCCAUGGAAUACUUUAAAAUUGAUAUCUUUUAGUGUUGGAUUAGGAGAAGACAAAUCCCAAGAGAAAUUCCCAUCAACUAUCUCGAUUGCUGUUUCAGAACUACCUCUUAGAAACUUCUCGACAACAUCAGACUGCAAGUCAUCAAGACGGAGGAAAGAUGCAAUUCUAUCAAGGGAAACCUUGGUCUGAACUAUCAUAGAAAUUGUGUCAGGAAGAUUAUAGAUAGGCUCUUGAAGAAUCCUGAACGUUGCAAGCGCUGAUAAGAUCUUUCCUGACUCGAGCGGAAUUCCCAUAAGCAUACAAGCACCAAAAGUAGCCACAGACACAAAAGUAGGAGCCCCCCAAAAGACAAAACUGACAAUUGAUGAACUGUAAACAAAUUUCUUCAACCAUCCUGCCUCAGUCUUCCGCAGCUCUUCAAUCUUAGACAAAAACUUCAUUUCCCACGCCUGAAGCUUGAGGAUUCUCAUAUUCCUUAAAAUCUCAGAAGUUGCCUUCAUUCUUUUAUCCUUACAUUUCAUCAACUUAUCCUGAAAGUUCUCCUGUAAUCUUCCCAGCGGAUAGUUCAAUAACAUGACAACAACUGUUGCAACCAAAGUAGCAAGAGAUGCAAGACCAAGAUUUUUAGACAAUAUGAACAACGCCAAAGCAACUUGGAUAAUGACCAGCCAUGGAUCAUGCAUGUACCAGCUAAAGUCACCAAUCCGCUCUGCAUCAACAGUCAUAAAAUUGAUGAUCUCCCCACUAGUAUGGCCCUGCUUUGACUGGCAUGAAAGGGUCAAGCCUUUGUUGUAGAUCAUUGCCACAAGUACUGCACGAAGCCUGAUUCCAAUUUGCUGCAACCUAAAGAACCAAUGCCUCUGUGUGAGGCACUCUACAAGUUUUCCAAACAAAAAGGCUGAAGCUAAAAGAUAUCCCUGAUUUUUGAACUUUCCUCGCCCAUUAAGACAUUGAACAAAUGCAUCUAUAAGGUAUGGGCCAACAUAAGAAGCUGAUGUGUAUAACACAGCUAGUAAAGCUGUCCACAGAAUUUCCUUCCAAGCAGAGAAGAACAAGGCCUUCACGAGUUUAAACGUGGUAACUCCGCUAGCAGCCCCACUAUCCAACUCAACUUUAUUUCUGAAAACCGGAAAUGCCCCAACUACACUAUCGCCACUAUAGAGUUGAGGAACAUCCUCAAGGUCUAAAGUUUUCUUAUUGCCAACAGCAAUUAGAGAACCCAUCCAAGAGAAGGUAAGGAUACUGAAGAGACCAGCAUUUGCGUAAGGAGUUACAGUGUCACCCCCUCUAGACUUAGUUGACUCCGAAUUAUUACUUGAAUCACCAUUCAAGAGGGGUUCAUCGAGAAGGGUAUCUUCACCCUUAAUUUUCAAGAAGCCCACAAAACAGAGAAACAAACCAGCGAACACAGAGACUGCAUCGGAUGCUAAAUACUGAACUUGUAAGGAAACAUGUUUUCCACAUAGAACAAGGUCCACAACAAGACAAUAACAAGAAAAUGAGAAAUAAAAGCCCCACCAAACUCUCAAUAGAAAUGGGAACUUUGUAUUAGCUGAAUCAAAAAAUUGGCUGUGCAAGUAAACCGAAACUGCACCCCAAGAGAGUGUUCUAAGAGCUAAAUCCAAAAGGGUCACUAGUUCAUCACCAGACCAACCAUUUUUAUACCAAUAGAAGUAGGUCAAUAAACACCAGACAAUACUAAACACCGAAACACCCAAACAACAGAACACAGUCUGUUUGUAACACAAGGCUCUCUCAUUCUUAUUGAACCUAUCUUUAGAACCUUCACCAUCACCCCCCCAAAGUUUCUUCCAGACAAACCGAACGAAUAACACAAGUAACAAACCCAAGUGUAAUGAACCAGAAAAUCCGCGUAGGAAAAUUGGUUUAAAGAGAAAAUCUGUACCUGAAUACAUUAACGAGGGUGAGUUGGAAAGAAAAGCUAACAUACCAUGCCUCAAAGAAUCAGCAAGUUCCAUUCUUGAGAGGUUUUUUCAAGGUUUUAGCGAAAUGGGUGUUCGGCAGAGUAGUUGGUUUUUCUUUUUCUAACUUUAAUGGAAUAUGAAGAUUUUAAUCUAUCGCGGUUGCCAUAUAUAUAUAUAUGAAGAGAUAGGGUGUGUAUGUUUGCU